AGGUCAUUUUCUUAGCUUAAACUGGUCUGAACCAAGUUGAUGCCUUGUAACUCUUAACAGUGUCUCUGCUGCAAAAGAUCUGGUACCAACUGGAAGUGAAAUACCACCCUCCUCUGCUGCAAAAGAUCUUGAAGAAGAUAUCAAACCAAGCCAAAGUGGGACUAUGGACUCUACUGAAACUAACAAUGAGGGAUCUAAAAGUUUUUUCAAAUGGUUGCUUAUUGUUUCCCUCCCAUAUUAAUGGUGAAAUUCUUUGUUUGGAUAAUUUGUAAGUUCUGGCUGCCCUGCUAAUUGCUAAAGUUUGUCUCAAUAAAGAUGGAUGGAGAGGUGAGCUGUUUGAAGAAUGAGUCAAUUUUUCAUGUGUUUGGUUGCUUGUAAACAGUUUUGGUUUGCAUUGGUCAGGGGAGAGGGACGUCCUUUUUUUUUAGUGUGGAGAGCAAUUGUUGUUCCAUUGAUUUCAAUAUGUGGGUUUUAAAGUGAGCUUUUGACUUUAUCUGCUUUGUAAUGCCUGUUAAAAAUGUUUGGGUGAACCACUCAAAUUGGCUCAUAAAAAACUUAAUAUUGUAGCUAUAUCUUGAAGAUGUAAAACUUAAAGCUUUGUUUGUGAAGCUGAUUCACUCAUUGGAGAUCUGAAAAGAGAAGCAGAAGAGGACCAAAACAAGAGCACUAAUUUUAUCUGCUUUUUCAUCUUUCUCAAGAUAGAUACCAAUAAACCAUAACAUAUUUUCUUUCUCUGCUUUUUGUUGUCUACUUAUUCAUUGGUAUCUAUCUUGAGAAAGAUGAAAUACACUCUGAUAGUGUUUCUACAUGCUAUGAAUUAUCGUCAACCCUCUAAUACGGGAAAAACGAGCUAGUAGAUGUAAGAGAUGAUGCUGCUCUUAAGUUCUUAUGGCUUCAACUGAAUUUUAAUGAAGGCAUAGCUUUUUCAUUACCAUCUUAUUUUUCAGAUUAGACAUUGUAGUAUUCAAACUCUUAUAUAAUACUUUGAAUAUUUUAAAAACUAAUAAUCAACAAGAUAACACUCAAAUUGUAGUCUUCCACCUAAAACAAUGGUGUCGUGUGAGUUGAGAGUUAUUUUAUGUAUCUAUAAAAUACUUUUGAUAUUUUGGACAUACA